rnacentral:rRNA from 1 species
CGGAUUGUAAAGCCCUUUUGGCAGGGACGAUGAGGACGGUACCUGCAGAAUAAGCCCCGGCUAACUUCGUGC